AUCUCCUGUUUCUGCCCCAUCUUCUUGAAUUCUUCUAUAGAUUAAUGGGUUCUAAUAUGGAGAAGAAUAAGCUUGGUUGUCUGGUUUGACUCUUCAUUUACUCGUGUUGAUACAAAUGGUUUAUGAAAGUUUUAUUGGGCUUCCAUGAUACGUGUUUAUGGUAUCAGCCAAUUGAGAUGAUGUAAUUUAUCUCGUCCUGGUGGUGCCUAAACUACAUUC
rnacentral:snoRNA from 1 species